rnacentral:rRNA from 1 species
UACAGAGGUGGCGAGCGUUAUUCGGAAUUAUUGGGCGUAAAGAGCGUGUAGGCGGUCCGGUAAGUCAGCUGUGAAAGUCAAGGGCUCAACCCUUGAAAGCCGGUUGAUACUGUCGGGCUAGAGUCCGGAAGAGGCGAGUGGAAUUCCCGGUGUAGCGGUGAAAUGCGCAGAUAUCGGGAGGAACACCAAUGGCGAAGGCAGCUCGCUGGGACGGUACUGACGCUGAGACGCGAAAGCGUGGGGAGCAAACAGG